rnacentral:rRNA from 1 species
ACGGGAGGCAGCAGCUAAGAAUAUUCCGCAAUGGACGAAAGUCUGACGGAGCGACGCCGCGUGGAUGAUGAAGGCCGGAAGGUUGUAAAAUCCUUUUAAGUAUGAGGAAUAAGCCGUACAGGAAAUGGUAUGGUGGUGACUGUAGUACUAGAAUAAGCAACGGCUAAUUACGUGCCAGCAGCCGCGGUAACACGUAAGUUGCGAGCGUUGUUCGGAAUUAUUGGGCGUAAAGGGCAUGUAGGCGGUUUUGCAAGCUUGAUGUGAAAGGCAGGAGCUUAACUCCUGGACUGCGUUGAGAACUGCAUGACUAGAGUCACUGAGGGGCAAUCAGAAUUCCUGGUGUAGGGGUGAAAUCUGUAGAUAUCAGGAAGAAUACCAAUGGCGAAGGCAGGUUACCAGCAGAUGACUGACGCUGAGGUGCGAAGGUGCGGGGAGCAAACAGGAUUAGAUACCCUGGUA